UUUAUGGAGAGUUUGAUCCUGGCUCAGGAUGAACGCUGGCGGCGUGCCUAAUACAUGCAAGUCGAGCGAACUGACGAGGAGCUUGCUCCUUUGACGUUAGCGGCGGACGGGUGAGUAACACGUGGGUAACCUACCUAUAAGACUGGAAUAACUCCGGGAAACCGGGGCUAAUGCCGGAUAACAUAUCGAACCGCAUGGUUCGAUAGUGAAAGACGGUCUUGCUGUCACUUAUAGAUGGACCCGCGCCGUAUUAGCUAGUUGGUGAGGUAACGGCUCACCAAGGCAACGAUACGUAGCCGACCUGAGAGGGUGAUCGGCCACACUGGAACUGAGACACGGUCCAGACUCCUACGGGAGGCAGCAGUAGGGAAUCU
rnacentral:rRNA from 1 species